AGAGUUUGAUCAUGGCUCAGGAUGAACGCUAGCGGCAGGCCUAACACAUGCAAGUCGGACGGUAACAUGAGGUGCUUGCACUUUGAUGACGAGUGGCGCACGGGUGCGCAACGCGUAUAGAACCUACCCUGUACAGGGGGAUAGCCCAGAGAAAUUUGGAUUAAUACCCCGUGGUAAAUAUAAAUGGCAUCGUUUAUAUUUUAAAGUUUUCGGACGGUACAGGAUGGCUAUGCGUCCUAUUAGUUAGAUGGUGAGGUAACGGCUCACCAUGGCAGCGAUAGGUAGGGGCCCUGAGAGGGGGAUCCCCCACACUGGUACUGAGACACGGACCAGACUCCUACGGGAGGCAGCAGUGAGGAAUAUUGGACAAUGGGCGCAAGCCUGAUCCAGCCAUGCCGCGUGCAGGAAGACGGCCCUAUGGGUUGUAAACUGCUUUUAUACGGGAAGAAUAAGGGACACGUGUGUCCUGGUGACGGUACCGUAAGAAUAAGGACCGGCUAACUCCGUGCCAGCAGCCGCGGUAAUACGGAGGGUCCGAGCGUUAUCCGGAAUUAUUGGGUUUAAAGGGUCCGCAGGCGGGCAAUUAAGUCAGGGGUGAAAUGGUGCGGCUCAACCGUAGCACUGCCCUUGAUACUGGUUGUCUUGAGUCAUAGUGAAGUGGCCGGAAUAUGUAGUGUAG
rnacentral:rRNA from 1 species